UCAUGGGUAUGAGUGAAUGUCAACAGCCACACUUACAAUCUAUCUCCAUCUGCAACACUCUGUGGUCCAUACAGUAAGCUGUUGAAGAGAGACUCAAACCCUCGGUCUGUUUCAUCUGAAACACACAAUAUGUCAACGCUAUCAGAUGUGUUCCAGUCUGGCAUGAUUAUUCCCCGCUUGCAGAUCAUGCUAAUCAAACAAGACUGUCAAGGGGGUUUCGCACUUGAUGGAAACAAUCGUGAUGGUAAUUCAGGAGGAGCUGCAGUGUCUGUGUGCGAGUGUGGUUUCAAAUGACAGCCAUUUUUUUCUUUAAC